rnacentral:rRNA from 1 species
UACGAAGGGUGCAAACGUUGCUCGGAAUCAUUGGGCGUAAAGCGCACGUAGGCGGCCUCAAAAGUCGGAUGUGAAAUCCCGUGGCUCAACCAUGGACGUGCAUUCGAAACUGCGAGGCUUGAGUAUGGAAGAGGGUCGCGGAAUUCCCGGUGUAGAGGUGAAAUUCGUAGAUAUUGGGAAGAACACCGGUGGCGAAGGCGGCGACCUGGUCCAUUACUGACGCUGAGGCGCGACAGCGUGGGGAGCAAACAGG